GAUGAACGCUGGCGGCGUGCCUAAUACAUGCAAGUCGAGCGAACGGACGAGAAGCUUGCUUCUCUGACGUUAGCGGCGGACGGGUGAGUAACACGUGGAUAACCUACCUAUAAGACUGGGAUAACUUCGGGAAACCGGAGCUAAUACCGGAUAAUAUUUUGAACCGCAUGGUUCAAAGGUGAAAGACGGUCUUGGUGGCACUUAUAGAUGGAUCCGCGCUGCAUUAGCUAGUUGGUAAGGUUACGGCUUACCAAGGCAACGAUGCAUAGCCGACCUGAGAGGGUGAUCGGCCACACUGGAACUGAGACACGGUCCAGACUCCUACGGGAGGCAGCAGUAGGGAAUCUUCCGCAAAGGGCGAAAGCCUGACGGAGCAACGCCGCGUGAGUGAUGAAGGUCUUCGGAUCGUAAAACUCUGUUAUUAGGGAAGAACAUAUGUGUAAGUAACUGUGCACAUCUUGACGGUACCUAAUCAGAAAGCCACGGCUAACUACGUG
rnacentral:rRNA from 1 species